CGUGUGGUUCUAUUUUGUUGGUUAUGGGACCGCCGUAAUGAUUAAUAGGGACAGUCGGGGGCAUCAGUAUUCAAUUGUCAGAGGUGAAAUUCUUGGAUUUAUUGAAGACUAACUACUGCGGAAGCAUUUGCCAAGGAUGUUUUCAUUAAUCAGGAACGAAAGUUAGGGGAUCGAAGACGAUCAGAUACCGUCGUAGUCUUAACCAUAAACUAUGCCGACUAGGGAUCGGGCGAUGUUACUUUUUGACUCGCUCGGCACCUUACGAGAAAUCAAAGUUUGUGGGUUCCUGGAGGAGUAUGGUGGCAACGCUGAAACUUAAAGAAAUUGACGGAAGGGCACCACCAGGGGUGGAGCCUGCGGCUUAAUUUGACUCAACACGGGGAAACUCACCAGGUCCAGACACAAUGAGGAUUGACAGAUUGAGAGCUCUUUCUUGAUUUUGUGGGUGGUGGUGCAUGGCCGUUCUUAGUUGGUGGAGUGAUUGGUCUGCUUAAUUGCGAUAACGAACGAGACCUUAACCUGCUAAAUAGCCCGUGUUGCUUCUGCAGCACGCCGGCUUCUUAGAGGGACUAUCGGCUCAAGCCGAUGGAAGUUUGAGGCAAUAACAGGUCUGUGGUGCCCUUAGAUGUUCUGGGCCGCACGCGCGCGACACUGACAGGGCCAGCGAGUUCUCCCUUGUCCGAAAGGACCGGGUAAUCUUGUUAAACCCUGUCGUGC
rnacentral:rRNA from 1 species